rnacentral:rRNA from 1 species
UACGUAGGGGGCAAGCGUUGUCCGGAUUUAUUGGGCGUAAAGAGCGUGUAGGCGGCCCGACAGGUCCGUUGUGAAAACUCGAGGCUCAACCUCGAGACGUCGGUUGAAACCGUAAGGCUAGAGUCCGGAAGAGGAGAGUGGAAUUCCCGGUGUAGCGGUGAAAUGCGCAGAUAUCGGGAAGAACACCCGUGGCGAAGGCGGCUCUCUGGGACGGUACUGACGCUGAGACGCGAAAGCGUGGGGAGCGAACAGG